rnacentral:rRNA from 1 species
UACGGAGGGAGCUAGCGUUGUUCGGAAUUACUGGGCGUAAAGCGCACGUAGGCGGCUUUGUAAGUUAGAGGUGAAAGCCCGGGAGCUCAACUCCGGAAUUGCCUUUAAGACUGCAUCGCUUGAAUCCAGGAGAGGUGAGUGGAAUUCCGAGUGUAGAGGUGAAAUUCGUAGAUAUUCGGAAGAACACCAGUGGCGAAGGCGGCUCACUGGACUGGUAUUGACGCUGAGGUGGCGAAAAGCGUGGGGAGCAAACAGG